GGACUGAGACACUGCCCAGACUCCUACGGGAGGCUGCAGUCGAGGAUCAUUCACAAUGCGCGAAAGCGUGAUGAUGCGACGCUGCGUGGAGGAUGAAGGCCCUUGGGUCGUAAACUCCUGUCAUGCGGGAAAAAUUGUUCGUGUGUUAAUAACACUCGGACUUGAUGGUACCGCAAGAGGAAGCCACGGCUAACUCUGUGCCAGCAGCCGCGGUAAUACAGAGGUGGCAAGCGUUGUUCGGAUUUACUGGGCGUAAAGCGUGCGUAGGCGGUAUCGUAUGUCGGGUGUGAAAGCCCACGGCCCAACCGUGGAACUGCAUCCGAAACUACGGAACUAGAGUGCAGGAGGGGAGAGUGGAAUUCUUGGUGUAGCGGUGAAAUGCGUUGAUAUCAAGAAGAACACCGGUGGCGAAGGCGGCUCUCUGGAAUGUUACUGACGCUGAGGCACGAAAGCUGGGGGAGCGAACAGGAUUAGAUACCCUGGUAGUCCCAGCCGUAAACGGUGCGCACUUGGUGUUGGCGGUAUUGACCCCGCCAGUGCCGGAGCUAACGCGUUAAGUGCGCCGCCUGGGGAGUACGGCCGCAAGGUUAAAACUCAAAGAAAUGGACGGGGGCCCGCACAAGCGGAGGAGCAUGUGGCUUAAUUCGAUGCAACGCGAAGAACCUUACCAGGGCUUGACAUGUAACUGCUCAUCCUGUGAAAGCAGGACUCUUUCGAAGGUGUUACACAGGUGCUGCAUGGCUGUCGUCAGUUCGUGCCGUGAGGUGUUGGGUUAAGUCCCGCAACGAACGCAACCCCUGUGUCUAGUUGCCACCGGUGGUGAUGAGCCACCGAGCACUCUAGACAGACUGCCCGUGCAAGCGGGAGGAAGGUGGGGAUGAGGUCAAGUCAGUAUGGCCCUUACGCCCUGGGCUGCACACGUGCUACAAUGGUCGGUACAAAGGGAUGCAAGACCGCGAGGUGGAGCAAAUCCCCAAAGCCGGCCCCAGUUCGGAUUGGAGUCUGCAACUCGACUCCAUGAAGUCGGAUUCGCUAGUAACGGCGUAUCAGCUACGACGCCGUGAAUACGUUCCCGGGCCUUGUACACACCGCCCGUCACAUCAUGAAAGUCGUCUGCACCAGAAGUCGCUGAGCUAACCCGUAAGGGAGGCAGGUGCCGAAGGUGUGGGUGAUGAUUGGGAUGAAGUCGUAACAAGGUA
rnacentral:rRNA from 1 species